UGGAGGGCAAGUCUGGUGCCAGCAGCCGCGGUAAUUCCAGCUCCAAUAGCGUAUAUUAAAGUUGUUGCAGUUAAAAAGCUCGUAGUUGAAUUUCGGGAUUUGUCAGUUGGUCGGGCUUAACUGUCCGUAUUGACUCGAUGGAUUCUUACCUUCUGAAUAACCAGCAUGCUAUUAAUUUAGUGCGUUGGGGAAGCAGAUCUAUUACCUUGAAAAAAUUAGAGUGCUUAAAGCGAGCUAGUGCUUGAAUAGAUUAGCAUGGAAUAAUAAAAUAGGACGACAUGGUUCUAUUUUGUUGGUUUCUAGGAUCACCGUAAUGAUUAAUAGGGAUAGUUGGGGGCAUUAGUAUUCAAUUGUCAGAGGUGAAAUUCUUGGAUUUAUUGAAGACUAACUUCUGCGAAAGCAUUUGCCAAGGAUGUUUUCAUUAAUCAAGAACGAAAGUUAGGGGAUCGAAGACGAUCAGAUACCGUCGUAGUCUUAACCAUAAACUAUGCCGACUAGGAAUCGGACGAUGUUAAUUUUAUAAUGACUCGUUCGGCACCUUACGGGAAAC
rnacentral:rRNA from 1 species